rnacentral:rRNA from 1 species
CCUACGGGUGGCAGCAGUGAGGAAUAUUGGUCAAUGGGCGCGAGCCUGAACCAGCCAAGUCGCGUGAGGGAUGAAGGUUCUAUGGAUCGUAAACCUCUUUUAUCAGGGAAUAAAGUGUGGGACGUGUCCUAUUUUGUAUGUACCUUAUGAAUAAGGCUCGGCUAACUCCGUGCCAGCAGCCGCGGUAAUACGGAGGAUCCGAGCGUUAUCCGGAUUUAUUGGGUUUAAAGGGUGCGUAGGCGGCCUUUUAAGUCAGCUGUGAAAGUCUGUGGCUCAACCAUAGAAUUUCGGUGGAAACUGGGGGGCUUGAGUAUGUGUGAGGAAGGCGGAAUGAGUGGUGUAGCGGUGAAAUGCUUAGAUAGCACGCAGAACCCCGAUUGCGAAGGCAGCCUGCCAAGCCAUGACUGACGCUGAUGCACGAAAGCGUGGGGAUCAAACAGGAUUAGAUACCCGAGUAGUC